CAGGUAGAGAAUACCAAGGCGCUUGAGAGAACUCGGGUGAAGGAACUAGGCAAAAUGGUGCCGUAACUUCGGGAGAAGGCACGCUGACACGUAGGUGAAGUGAUUUACUCAUGGAGCUGAAGUCAGUCGAAGAUACCAGCUGGCUGCAACUGUUUAUUAAAAACACAGCACUGUGCAAACACGAAAGUGGACGUAUACGGUGUGACGCCUGCCCGGUGCCGGA
rnacentral:rRNA from 1 species